AAGUGGGUAGAGAGAGAGUAGGUGAGCAUUUUUUUUUGCUCACCAUUGAGAGUGGUCUAACAUUGAAAAGAAAAGUGAGACAAAGGUAGAUAUCAAACCCUUCCCCUUCUCUCUAAAAACCAAAACCCCCAAAGUUAUUACUUCUCCGCCGCCGGUGGCCUGAACAACUUUAUUUGUCUUGGGUCACUGGCGAGCUGCUGCUAGGUAGUUUAGCCUAUCUUCUAGGUAGGUAGUUUAGCCUAUCUUCUAGGUUUGACAAAGGUAGAUAUCAAACCCUUCCCCUUCUCUCUAAAAACCAAAAUCCCCAAAGUUAUUACUUCUCCGCUGCUAGUGGCCUGAACGACUUUAUUUGUCUUGGGUCACAGGCGAGCUGCUGCUAGGUAGUUUAGCCUAUCUUCUAGGCAGUUUAGCCUAUCUUCUAGGUAGUUUAAUUAAGUUUGUCGGCUGCACCGUGUUUUGAACGGAGGAUAUUUACUUCGGGUCAAAUUAAUGAAGCAGUCUUUGACGAUCUACUUCCUAAGGGCUACUCCCAGUGUCGCCGAUACUGGUUAUCGUGUCUCAGUUAACCUCGUCGGUAAAGGUGAAGUUGAGGCUUAGGGUUUCUAUUUAGGUAAAGUAAGGUCGAUUUUCAAGAACCGAGGCUUUGGGGGUUUCGGCUUCGUCAUCUCGCGGAGCUCUUCAAUCGUUGGUGAUAAGGUGGGGUUUCCUUCAUCGUCGGUUUUCACUUCUUCCUGGGUUUGUCAUCAAUUCUCCAAUCGAAACAUUAGCACAGAAUACGAAGGUUUCUAUUGGGAAAGAUACAAAGACAUUGAAGAUCACUGCUUGAGUCAAGCUUGAAGUUUGACGUGAUGGAGUGUGAACUAUGCCAAAUAUGCAAAUUAGUUAUGAUUUUGAUUGUAAAAUUUAUGUUAAUUUCUCUUAAUUUGUUGUUUACAAAAGAUGAUUUUGAUUGUAAAUUAAAGUUAUGUUAAUUUCUUUGAAUUUGUGGUUGACAAA